UCAAGCCUUAAUUUCUAAACCUCCUGCUGACGCCCACCUCCUUCUCACGCUGCGACCUGUCACGCCCACCUCCCGCUCAUGCCACAACCUGUCUCUGUCUCUCAACCGCCAACGUCGGCGACUAUUGCAACGCACCGCCGAUCACCCAACUGAGCGUCGAUCGAAGUUGCUUGCCAACGCCAGGUUUUAAGUGUAACAUGGAGUAAUGAUGCAGAACGUAUAUUUUCAGGGAGCAGUGAUGGGUAUGUACAUGUACCACCAAUUGUUACUUGCAAUGAAAAUCAAUAUAAUGUACUAAUUACUAUGAACGUGAUCUUCUCCAAUUUUGUUGCUAAAUUAUAGUUACUCCACGUUUGUGCAUUCCUCACCCUACUUGCCCUAAUUUUAUUGCUAAAUUAAAGUUACUCUUACUUGUCUUUUGCCAAAUGCAUAAACAAGAUCACCAUGGUGAGGAUUAUUCAUAGUCCUUUGCACUAAGGUGAGGAUUAUUCAUAGAUCACCAUGUUCUUAAAUCUAUUCAUUUCUUACAAUUUUUUUUUUGUUUGUUUCCCUUUUAGCUUCAUUGCCCAUAUGAAUUGAAUUUUGAUAAGGUAUGUGUUUAUAAUGUUGGGUAAGAAGUAAUAAGAUUGUCCCUGACUCUGUUAUUGUCUUUUGUUGGUGUAUUGUAUUGAUAGGGAUGUGUGCGUCAAACUUGGAGUCUUCAUCCAAAGAUAAGGGGGUUCUUUCAUGGUUAUUCAUUUAUUACGGUUCUCAUGAUCCUAAAUCAUGCCCUCAGUGGCAUUGUUGGAUCUAUGAUGUUAAAGUAUGCUGAUAAUAUUGUGAAGGUAUUGCUUAUUACAACUACAAGCCCUUGAUUCAUUUGAUGAAUUUAUUUGUACCUUUAAGGUCCUACUACUUAAAGUUGUUAUAUU